rnacentral:rRNA from 1 species
GACGAACGCUGGCGGCGUGCUUAACACAUGCAAGUCGAGCGGUAAGGCCCUUUCGGGGGGUACACGAGCGGCGAACGGGUGAGUAACACGUGGGUGACCUGCCCUCAGCUCUGGGAUAAGCCUGGGAAACCGGGUCUAAUACCGGAUAUGACUCCAUGACGCAUGUUGUGGGGUGGAAAGCCUUGUGCGGCUGAGGAUGGGCCCGCGGCCUAUCAGCUUGUUGGUGGGGUGANGGCCUACCAAGGCGACGACGGGUAGCCGGCCUUGGCGGGUGAACGGCCACACGGGGACUGAGACACGGCCCCGACUCCUACGGGAGGCAGCAGUGGGGAAUAUUGGGCAAUGGGCGCAAGCCUGACCCAGCGACGUCGCGUUGGGGAAGAAGGCCUUCGGUUGUAA